UGCGUAGGCGGAUUAAUAAGUCAGUGGUGAAAUCUUUCGGCUCAACCGAGAAACUGCCAUUGAUACUGUUAAUCUUGAGUUCGGUUGAGGUAGGCGGAAUGUGUAAUGUAGCGGUGAAAUGCUUAGAUAUUACACAGAACACCAAUUGCGUAGGCAGCUUACUAGACCGACACUGACGCUGAGGCACGAAAGCGUGGGGAGCGAACAGGAUUAAUACCCUGGUAGUCC
rnacentral:rRNA from 1 species